rnacentral:lncRNA from 1 species
GUCACAAAAGACUUCCUAGUCACCUCCCCUCUUUUUAUAUUACUCCCUCCCAUGUUUUUCUUUAGAUUUUAAAACUAGAUAAAAUCAGGCCUUCCGUUAGAUUACCUGAAUUCUUUCAGGUGACGAGAAUCUCUGAGGCUUAAUUCAUUUAAAUAAACUUCAUUUUCCUACUGCCUUUGGCCAGGUGCCUUCGGAGGCCUGUUUGACAGAAUAGUUUCCGCUCCUGGGGGAGAGUGACCUGUUGUCAUCAAAGUGACCUACCACGAGAUAGAAGAAAUGUCUGAGAGGCUAGUUCUGCCUUUGGACACUUGGUGGCGCUCUAGCUUUAUGAAUGGCUCAAGCCGCUUCUGUUUGCUCCUGGGAAGUCUCCUUCCCUUUCCGCAGCUCGGUGGUGUGGUUUCAGAAUCAGAGGCAUUGUGUUCUGCGGAAGGUCAUAUGGAAAGUUCGAUGGCUGAUUGGAUUAGAAUAUGUACAGCUCAUCAAGAUGAAAGAAAAAGAAUAUGGAAGAAAGACUUCAAAAGUCACAGUGAAGAAAAUUUGUUUUUACAAAGAUGUCAACAUACAACUUCCUCAUUAUCUGCUUCUCAAGACUGAAAGACCUACUCCUCUACCAGCCAGAGUUGUCUUCUCCUCAAGAUUCCAAUCUCCUGGGGCCCAUUCCUCUGUCGAAGUGAUCAGUUUCACACACUCUUCAGCCCAGCACUUUUUCUUUAGUGCCAGCUUCUGUCACACAGGAUAACCCUGAGUUUCAAAACUAAUGGUGUAUAUAAAUAAUGGGAUGCUAAACAGACAACAUAAGAGACUUAUUGCAGAACCAGAGAUCAUCCGGUUCUAUUUAUAUAACUGGCAUCAACAAAAAAGGUAAGGGGAUGAAUUUCAACUUUGAUGCUUUCAAUAUAUCCAUGAUCUUACUAAUGGUUCUUCCACUAACAAUAUAGGUCACAGUCCCUUAUGAAUGAGUAUCUUGGAAAUUUUCUACAGAAGCUCAAAUAGUCCAUAUGAUAUAUGGAAGACAUACA